AACGCUGAAGAGAGGAGCUUGCUCUUCUUGGAUGAGUUGCGAACGGGUGAGUAACGUGUAGGUAACCUGCCUUGUAGCGGGGGAUAACUAUUGGAAACGAUAGCUAAUACCGCAUAACAAUGGAUGACCCAUGUCAUUUAUUUGAAAGGGGCAAAUGCUCCACUACAAGAUGGACCUGCGUUGUAUUAGCUAGUAGGUGAGGUAACGGCUCACCUAGGCGACGAUACAUAGCCGACCUGAGAGGGUGAUCGGCCACACUGGGACUGAGACACGGCCCAGACUCCUACGGGAGGCAGCAGUAGGGAAUCUUCGGCAAUGGGGGCAACCCUGACCGAGCAACGCCGCGUGAGUGAAGAAGGUUUUCGGAUCGUAAAGCUCUGUUGUAAGUCAAGAACGAGUGUGAGAGUGGAAAGUUCACACUGUGACGGUAGCUUACCAGAAAGGGACGGCUAACUACGUGCCAGCAGCCGCGGUAAUACGUAGGUCCCGAGCGUUGUCCGGAUUUAUUGGGCGUAAAGCGAGCGCAGGCGGUUUGAUAAGUCUGAAGUUAAAGGCUGUGGCUCAACCAUAGUUCGCUUUGGAAACUGUCAAACUUGAGUGCAGAAGGGGAGAGUGGAAUUCCAUGUGUAGCGGUGAAAUGCGUAGAUAUAUGGAGGAACA
rnacentral:rRNA from 1 species